UUCUUUUCUUUUUCUUUUCCCAUUAAACCUCUGCUCCUAAACUCCUCAUAUGUGUCUGUGUCCUAAAUUUUCUUGGUGCAAGAGGAUGAACCCCAGGUUCAGGGAAUGCAUGUGGAGGUUUGGUACAUGGCGAUAUUGCUUGUUGCUGAGGCUCAGUGUAAGAAUGAUCCUGUCACCAAGGUUUGACCUUGGAAGUCCUCAUGGAGAAAAUUGCAUCUGAGCUGGACCAUGAAAAAUGAGUAGGAUUUCAACAGAUAACAAUGGAAGAGAGAAAGCAAAUCAACCACCUUUCUUCGCUCAUCUGACAAAGUGCCUGAUUCCAGCCAGAGACUAUGUAAGCCCUUGGAGUGAUAUCAGUCUCUAUUGACUGAAUGCUAACCCAUGGAAUUAGAUAUCCAUGUGAGUCUAUUCUACACAUCCAUAAGAAAACCUUAUACCGAGGCUUACUGGUUUUAAAAGAGGAGAUGUCAAACUAAAGAAUGGAGAAGAAUUUUCAAGGAGUGGGAAAAUGCCACUACCCUGCUCAGAACCUUCACUGCAACCCAGACUGUGCCUGUAUCUUAGGAGUGCAGAUGAUUGAGAUGGUCCAAGGGUAUCCGGAAGAGAGAGGAGAGGACCCAACAGCAUGGAUGGUGCAUGCUGAGCACUUCUCAAAGGAAAACCCAUGGCAGAGGAUUCGGUCUGAACCUCUUACUGUAAUCAUACAGCAUAGCUGGCAGGGGCUUGCCUUAUUUACAUGCCACAUGGAGCUGCAGUGGCACCAUGUUAUUGUGUGUUUUGGGAGAGGUGGAUGUGAGUGUGGGUGUGGGUGCACAUGCAUGGAUGUAUCGGACUGUGAGAAGGUAUGAGCUGAGGCCUAACUGUUCACAGCAGAGGCAAAGUCCUAUCAUGAACAAAAAAAGUGAGAUGGGUUGGAGGGACCCUACUUCAGGCCAUAGGUAAGCAGGGCUGCCAACAGAAGGGAAUGGAAGUGGGUGAGCAUGCAGAGUUCUUUCCGCUUAGUCAAAGAAGGCAGCAGCACUAACAGCCCAACCAGUGACAAGUGCAAAUUAGAAAAAGGACACUUCCACUGGGCAUUUUACUCCCAUCAGCUAAACAUUUCCCAUUGUAAGUGUUAGUCUGUUUAGGCUGUUAUAACAAAAAUGCCAUAAAUUGGGUGACUUACAAACUACAGAAAUUUGUUUCUCACAGUUCUGAAGGCUGAGAAUUUCAAGAACAAGGUGCCAUUAGAAAGUGGGAAUUGGGAUUAGGCACUAAUCCUCUUCAAAGGCCUCACCUCCUAAUACUAUCAUUUUGGGGUUAUUAUUUCAACAUAUGAAUUCUGUGGCCCACACACAUUCAGACCACAGCAGUAAGUACACAAGUCUCUGACAAUUGUGAAGGGCUGUCACUCCCAGGAACUAUGCAGUGCACAAUUUGUGAGACCCUAAGUGGCAGCGUGGAGUGGUAAUUGCUGCUGCUGCUGUUCUAUGGACCUGGCUGCUGGGGCAGGCCCCAAUGUGACAGAGUCAAUAUGUCAAGAAGAACUAGACAUCUGUUCCCAUCCUUCAGCAGCAGUGGGUCAUAAAUGGGUUAACUGUGCUGGCCAGGACCUUCACGGGCACAAAUCAGCCCUGAGCACUACUUGUCAGGCCCAACCACAUGAACAUUUGCAGGAAUAAUGAAGGCUCAGGAAUUAAUGACCAUAGAAGAUGUGUGGGCUCUAUUGAAUGCCUAUCUUAGAAAAAAAGGAGAGUUGGAAAACUAAUAAGCCAAGCAUUUGUUUCAAGAACUUAGUAAAAGAAAUGGCCAAAUAAACCCAAGAUAAGAUGAGAUAGGAAAUAAUAAAGAAGAAACUAACCCCAACAAGAAAAGUGAAUUUAUGGGUCAACCAAGUGUCCCGUAGAAAGACUUGUUUCUUCCUAUCUCUCUGUCUCUCUCAAGCACACAUGCUCAAUCUGAAAUAAACAUACACACUCACAUUCUGGAAACCUGUGUCCCUGCUUAUGGGAGGAAAUUUGCAAUCUCUGAUCUACUUCCUGAGGUUUAAAUGUAGAAAAAUAGAAAUGUCCAUAAAUGUGAAUGAAAUUUCAGAGGCCAACUGCUUAAAUUGAUAUCUGUUCAUUCCAGCAGACGAAGCCUCAUCAUGGUUUUUGAGCUGCUGUGCACAGAAAGAAGACGGCACAUCAUUUGCCAGGCCCAGGCCGGCCAGCACAGACACAUGCCUCUGCAGCACUGACAUUUGCAUAACUCUGUUUUGGAUUCAACUUAGGGUUCUCAUUUUGGGGGGUUUGAAAUAUAAUUAAGAUCUUAAAUCAGCAUACUCAGAUACUUUUAAAGCUCAAGAAAGUUUCUCCUUUUAUAUAAUUGACUAUGGCUUAUAUCAUCAUUUUCUAUUGGAGCUCCAUUCUCUAUCCUCCGUGUCUAUCAACUUCUCCUUCAAUACUUUUAUUUUUUGCUUCCUUUCAAUCUUCCUCCCUUCUUCCAUUCCUAACUUUCUCCCUCUUCUUCUCUCUCUCUCUUUUGCAACUUAAAAAAAAUUAUUGUCUCACAGAUUUUGUGAAUUUGGCAUUUGAGAUGACCUUAGCUAGUUAUUUCUACCUCACAAGGUUGGCCAGGGCUGCAGCCAUCUGAAGGUUUAGCCACAGCUAGAGGAUUCACUUCCAAAAUGACUAUUGGCAAAAGGCCUCAGUUCCUGGCUGUCGUUGGCAGAAGACCUCGGUUCCUCACCACGUGGACUUCAUAGGGACGCUUGAGUGCCCUUGGAUGCAGUAACUGGCUUUUCUCAGAGCAAAUAAUCCAAGAGAAACAGUAAGUAGGAAACAAAAAUGCCUUUCAUGACCUAGUCACAGAAGUCACAACCCAUCUCUUCUGUUAUAUUUUCUUUAUUAGAAGUGGGUCAGUAAGUCCAGCCCAUACUCAAAGGAAGAGAAAUUAAACCUAACUUCUUGAACCAAGAAGUAUCAGAGGAUUUGUGGAUAUAUUUUGAAACCACUACCAUGAGUUACCAAUUUGUUUUCUCUUUUUCAUUCCUAUGGGUGAAAAAAUGUACAAUAUGUAUCAUGGUUUUUAGGUGCAUUUCUUUAUUAUGUGUGAGGCAAUAUUUUUUAAAAAUAACUAUUUGUAUGUAUGUAAACUUUCUGUUCAUGAUCUUUAUUGAUUUUUCUAUUGGGGUUUUGGUAUUUAUGAAUAUGCAUUGCAAUGUUUUUAGAUAGACUUUAUUUUUUAGAACAGUUUUAGAUUAAUGGAAAAUUUGAGAAGAUAAUACAGAGAAUUCUUAUAUACUCCACCCACUAAGAUCCCCUUUUAUGCACACUUACAUUAGUAUGGUACAUUUACUGUAAUCAAUGAGCCAAUAUUGAUACAUUAUUAUUAACUAACGUUUAUUCAGAUUUCCUUUGUUUUCUCUUAAUGCCAUUUUCUAUUCCAGAAUUCCAUCCAGGAGACCACA
rnacentral:lncRNA from 1 species